GGGGGAAAAAUUAAUAAAUUAUAAAUAAUAAAAAAAUUUUUAAUAUUAAUAUAAUUUAAUGGGGGUUAAAGUAUAUUUAAUAGAAAAAAUAAUAAAAUUUAUAGGGAAUUAGUAUUGUAAAAGAAAUUUGAAAUAUAUUGAAAAUAAAUUUAUAUAAAAGUAGAUUUAAUUUAUUGUAUCUUGUGUAUCAGAGUUUAUUAAUAAUAUUUUUUAUUUAAAAAUUUUCUCGAAUUUAAAAGAGAUAAUUAAUUAUUAAAAUUAAUGUUGAAUAAUUAUUUUAAAUAAUUAAUUUGAAAUGAAAUGUUAAUCGUUUUUAAAUAUAUCUAGUUUUUUUAGAAAAAAAUUUAAUUUUAAAUUUUAAAAUAAUAUAGUUUUAAUUAAUUAAAAUUGUAUUUUUAAAAUUAAAUAUUUUAAGGGAUAAGCUUUAAAAUAAAUUUUUAUAAUAAAUUUUAUUAAAAAAUUAAGAUUUUUAAAAUUUAUAUUGUUUAUAAAUUAUAAUUUUUUAUAAAUAAUUUUAAUUUAAUUAAAAUUUAAAAUUUAUUUAAUUUUUUAUAAAAAAAUAUUUUUUAAUAAUUUAAAUUUAGAUAUAAUGAUAAAAUUAGUAUAUAAUUAGAUAAAAAUAAUUUUUUAUUUGAUAAUUUAAAAAAAGGAAUUCGGCAAAAAUUUAUAUUCACUUGUUUAUCAAAAACAUGUCUUUUUGAUUAAUAAUUUAAAGUCUAAUCUGCCCACUGAUAAUUUAUUAAAGGGCUGCAGUAUUUUGACUGUACAAAGGUAGCAUAAUCAUUAGUCUCUUAAUUGGUGACUUGUAUGAAAGAUUUGAUGAGAUAUAUACUGUCUCUUUUUAAUUUAUAAAAUUUAAUUUUUUAGUUAAAAAGCUAAAAUAAAUUUAAAAGACGAGAAGACCCUAUAGAGUUUUAUAUUUAAUUAAAUUAAAAUUUUUUAUAAGUUUUAAAAUUUUAAUUUAAAUAAAUAUUUUGUUGGGGUGACAGAAAAAUUAAAAUAACUUUUUUUAAAAAUAUACAUUUAUAAAUGGAUAAAUGAUCCGUAAUUUACGAUUAUAAGAAAAAAUUACCUUAGGGAUAACAGCGUAAUUUUUUUUUUUAGUUCAAAUAAGAAAAAAAGUUUGCGACCUCGAUGUUGGAUUAAGAUAAAAUUUAAAUGCAAAAGUUUAAAAUUUUUGAUCUGUUCGAUCAUUAAAAUCUUACAUGAUCUGAGUUCAAACCGGUGUAAGCCAGGUUGGUUUCUAUCUUUAAAUAAAUAAAAUAUUUUAGUACGAAAGGAUCAAAUAUUUAAAAUAAUUUUAUAAAAAAGAAUAUUAAUAAUAAUAAUGUAAAAUUA
rnacentral:rRNA from 1 species